UACGUAGGUGGCAAGCGUUGUCCGGAUUUAUUGGGUUUAAAGGGUUCUUAGGCGGCUUUGUAAGUCAGUGGUGAAAUACUCUAGCUUAACUAGAGGGGUGCCAUUGAUACUGCAGAGCUUGAGUACAGAUGAGGUAGGCGGAAUUGACGGUGUAGCGGUGAAAUGCAUAGAUAUCGUCAAGAACACCGAUAGCGAAGGCAGCUUACUGGGCUGUAACUGACGCUGAUGCACGAAAGUGUGGGGAUCAAACAGG
rnacentral:rRNA from 1 species